GGACACUUGGGAGAUCAUGGACAGGAGCUGUGAUUCUCUAGGAGAGUUUAUAAGGUGGAACGUCAAGCAGCAAGAGACUAAAGACUUCAAGAUGGAAAAUGAAAGCACAGCAAGUUGUCAUGGCUGCAGAACUCUGAUGUGGGGCCGGGUGAUUUGACAUAUAAGGUCUGGCUGGCCUUGGGCUUCCUGUCUCUGGAGGAACAUUCACAAUAAACUGGGGAACUACUUUCUGGGAAUGCUACACACACACCACACAUGCGUACACAGGAUCCCAAGAACAAUGGUGGUUUCUGAGACUUUCCACGUGAAGACAAUGCCUGAAUUUCAAUUGUUCGCAUCUUGAAAACGUACACAGCAAUGAGAGUUCACAGCAGUUUCUUUUAGGGGGAAUAAAAGGGCUUGCUCCGCAAUCUGCCUUUAUUGUUUCACUGGAGAGGAGAAGCAAAACAUAUUUCAAUCAGAAGAAUUAUACCUGAGCGCUGUAACUGUUUCCAGAGCCAACAGAGAAAGCCGUGAUACAUUUAAGCGUCAUGGAAUUUGUUCAUCAGAACGAAAUGUGUGAAAUACACCCAAAGACUCUUUGCCAGUCCAAUAUGCAAAGAAACCAACAAUGAGCUUAAAAACUGUUUUGUUUUGUUGGGUCAAUUGACUGAAAAAAGAUGGGGACAAUUCGUCAUUCAUCAAUCGGUGCCAGAAAAAAAAAUCAGUGUUAUUUUUAGAGGUAGUGAUAUACAAACAGGAAAGCAGACAAGAGGAGACCCACCAUGGACCGCCUGUGGAGUUUUGAUCAAGUCGCUCAGCCUUUUUGGGCCUCAAGGGCACACAGUUGGUGGCGGAGCCGAGCUGAUCAUCUGUGACUCUCAUCUCACAGUUUGUGUUCUGGUGUGGAAAAGAUCGUCAUUUUCACCAUUGGAGAAUUCAUCUCUUCCUCGUGAAACAUGGUAUUGAUGAAGGUGAUGUGAAGCCGUUAAAAAGUCUCCAUGUGAUCAAACUGAGCUCAGGAAAACUGCAUGGGGAGAAACACUGAGGUGAAGGGAUUAGUAAAAGAGUCUGACCUCAAACACUUUCUCUGUAAAUGUUUAAAGAAAAUCUAAUUUGGAUGUGGAUAUAUUUGCUUUUCCACUAACAAUCCUAUUUCAUAAGCUCGGGUUGCUUUUGAGGUGAGAAUUUUCAGUCACUCC
rnacentral:lncRNA from 1 species